AUGAGGCAGCUUCAGCACCUAGACUACGACUUCACAGAGGAGGAGGUUUGGGCGGCCAUCCGGGCACAAGGACGAGACAAGGCACUAGGACCGGAUGGGUUCUCGGUGCGAUUCUAUGUGUCUUGUUGGGGUAUCAUUAAGGAGGAUGUCAUGGACGCAUUCAGGGCCUUUGGGAGGCUGGAUUUCCAAGGGCUAACAUCGAUGAAUCAAGCCUUUGUUACUUUACUGCCGAAAUCACCAGCAGCACUCGAGGUCAGAGACUUCAGAACAAUAAGUCUGAUUCACAGCUUCCCCAAACUAGUUGCGAAGGUCAUGUCUCUUCGCGUGGCACCAGAGAUGACAAACAUCGUGGGAACUCACCAGAGCGCGUUCAUACAAGGGAGGUGUCUCCAUGACAACUAUAUGCUCGUGCAAGGCACUGUCAGGUGGCUGCAAUCGACCAAAAGGCCCGCGCUCAUGCUGAAGCUAGACAUAACAAAAGCUUUCGACACCACGGAUUGGGCAUUCUUGCUGGAGGUCCUACGACACCUAGGCUUCGGAGACAAGUGGAUCGCAUGGGUAGCCAGUUUGUUGGCCUCAUCUUCCACUCGAGUGCUGCUCAACGGCGUGCCAGGCGAGGUUAUUUACAACAAGCGUGGCUUCUGGCAGGGAGACCCAGUUUCCCCACUACUCUUUGUCAUGGUUAUGAGCUGCCUCCACGCCUUACUCAACUAUGCCGCAGAGUCCGGAGUUCUAGCACCACUCGCUGAAGGAAAUAUGCCCUAG
rnacentral:rRNA from 1 species